rnacentral:lncRNA from 1 species
CAUUCUUGUGACCAAGCGACAAGGCUAUCUAAUUUUCCUUACGAGCAACUGCAUACGUGGCACCGGUGGACAAGUCUCCGAGAUUAAUUGGUUGGGUCUCGGCCCGUCAGAUAUCCCGGAUCAACAAGAAAAAAACAUUGUUUACAGAAGGUUUAUUUGAGUUUAGAGAAUUUUAAAGUAUUCCUUAUGCUAUUUUGUAUGGUUAUAUGACUUGUGAUCAAAGCAAGUGUCUAUUUAAUUAUUUUCUCAUAAAACGUGCCCAU